AUUGAACGCUGGCGGCAUGCUUUACACAUGCAAGUCGAACGGUAACAGGUUAAGCUGACGAGUGGCGAACGGGUGAGUAAUGCAUCGGAACGUGCCCGAUCGUGGGGGAUAACGCAGCGAAAGCUGCGCUAAUACCGCAUACGAUCUGAGGAUGAAAGCGGGGGACCGUAAGGCCUCGCGCGAUCGGAGCGGCCGAUGUCAGAUUAGGUAGUUGGUGGGGUAAAGGCUCACCAAGCCAACGAUCUGUAUCUGGUCUGAGAGGACGACCAGCCACACUGGGACGGAGACACGGCCCAGACUCCUACGGGAGGCAGCAGUGGGGAAUUUUGGACAAUGGGCGAAAGCCUGAUCCAGCAAUGCCGCGUGCAGGAAGAAGGCCUUCGGGUUGUAAACUGCUUUUGUACGGAGCGAAAAGGCCCUCUCUAAUUCAGGGGGUUUAUGACGGUACCGUAAGAAUAAGCACCGGCUAACUACGUGCCAGCCGCCGCCGUAA
rnacentral:rRNA from 1 species